GACGAACGCUGGCGGCGUGCUUAACACAUGCAAGUCGAACGGAAAGGCCCUGCUUUUGUGGGGUGCUCGAGUGGCGAACGGGUGAGUAACACGUGAGUAACCUGCCCUUGACUUUGGGAUAACUUCAGGAAACUGGGGCUAAUACCGGAUAGGAGCUCCCGCUGCAUGGUGGGGGUUGGAAAGUUUCGGCGGUUGGGGAUGGACUCGCGGCUUAUCAGCUUGUUGGUGGGGUAGUGGCUUACCAAGGCUUUGACGGGUAGCCGGCCUGUGAGGGUGACCGGCCACAUUGCUACUGAGAUACGGCCCAGACUCCUACGGGAGGCAGCAGUGGGGAAUAUUGCACAAUGGGCGGAAGCCUGAUGCAGCAACGCCGCGUGCGGGAUGACGGCCUUCGGGUUGUAAACCGCUUUCGCCUGUGACGAAGCGUGAGUGACGGUAAUGGGUAAAGAAGCACCGGCUAACUACGUG
rnacentral:rRNA from 1 species